rnacentral:rRNA from 1 species
ACGUACACUCCUACGGGAGGCAGCAGUAGGGAAUCUUCGGCAAUGGGGGCAACCCUGACCGAGCAACGCCGCGUGAGUGAAGAAGGUUUUCGGAUCGUAAAGCUCUGUUGUAAGUCAAGAACGAGUGUGAGAGUGGAAAGUUCACACUGUGACGGUAGCUUACCAGAAAGGGACGGCUAACUACGUGCCAGCAGCCGCGGUAAUACGUAGGUCCCGAGCGUUGUCCGGAUUUAUUGGGCGUAAAGCGAGCGCAGGCGGUUUGAUAAGUCUGAAGUUAAAGGCUGUGGCUCAACCAUAGUUCGCUUUGGAAACUGUCAAACUUGAGUGCAGAAGGGGAGAGUGGAAUUCCAUGUGUAGCGGUGAAAUGCGUAGAUAUAUGGAGGAACACCGGUGGCGAAAGCGGCUCUCUGGUCUGUAACUGACGCUGAGGCUCGAAAGCGUGGGGAGCGAACAGGAUUAGAAACCCUAGUAGUCCCAUG